rnacentral:rRNA from 1 species
CCUACGUGAGGCAGCAGUGAGGAAUAUUGGUCAAUGGACGAGAGUCUGAACCAGCCAAGUAGCGUGAAGGAUGACUGCCCUCUGGGUUGUAAACUUCUUUUAUCUGGGAAUAAAAUGUUCCACGUGUGGGCUUGUGUAUGUACCAUAUGAAUAAGGAUUGGCUAACUCCGUGCCAGCCGCCGCGGUAAUAGGGAGGAUCAGAGGGUUACUCGGAUUUAUUUGGUUUAAAGGGAGCGUAGGUGGAUUGUUAAGUCAGGUGUGAAAGUUUGCGGCUCAACCGUAAAAUUGCAGUUGAAACUGGCAGUCUUGAGUACGCGAGAGGUAGGCGGAAUUCGUGGUGUAGCGGUGAAAUGCUUAGAUAUCACGAAGAACUCCGAUUGCGAAGGCAGUUCACUGGACUGCAACUGACACUGAGGCUCGAAAGUGUGGGUAUCAAACAGGAUUAGAUACCCGUGUAGUC